rnacentral:misc_RNA from 1 species
UACGUAGGGAGCAAGCGUUAUCCGGAAUCACUGGGCGUACAGGGUGCGCAGGCGGGCAUGUAGGUCUGACGUGAAAGCCCCGGGCUUAACCCGGGAAAUGCGUCGGAAACCCCAUGUCUUGAGGACCAGAGAGGAAGGCGCAAUUCGUGGUGUAGCGGUGAAAUGCGUAGAUAUCACGAGGAACAUCAGUGGCGAAGGCGGCCUUCUGGAUGGUUCCUGACGCUGAGGUACGAAAGCAUGGGUAGCCAACGGG